rnacentral:rRNA from 1 species
ACCCCUUGUAGACGACGAGGUAGAUAGGUUGGAGGUGGAAGUGCAGCAAUGCAUGGAGCUGACCAAUACUAAUCGGUCGAGGGCUUAUCCAA